AUUCUCACUCCCAUCGCGUCAAAAAGCGAUGCUUGGUCAGGGGCCUUUGGCGUUUGCUAUUGAUGGAAAAAGUCUCCUUUAGCGUCGUAAUUAGACACGCUUGGUCGGGACUCUUGGCCGUCAUUUUGAUUUAAAC